rnacentral:lncRNA from 1 species
GCAGGGUUUCAAACCCGUGGCCUCUGAGAAGCCGAAACCGGAGGCAAGGAUCAAUGAAUCAAAACAGCCACGUCGUUGGAAUAGCUGCUUCAGGUUCUAGUUGACGGGAUUCUAUUUUGAAGGCAAAUAAAUAAAUACCAGGGUUUUAUAUAUUUCAUUUAUGUGUUUUUCUCAGUCUGUUGGCAAUGGUUUGCUUAAUUUAUAUUUUCGUAAUAAGAGAAUAAAUAGUGGUCACCAUGAGCACUAAUAUAGUGACUUUUUUUUCCAUGUUAUAAAAAUUUGAUGUUGUAAUGUUUGUAUAUUGCACCACAUAUAUUCAAG